CCAUCAAGUUUAAAAACAAGGUAAAGAUAUAUCAUGAAAGAGUUUGAAUAAUAAGCUGGCUAUCCUUCACAAUGUAUUCGUGAAUUAGCAUGAACAAAAUUUUGACUGAACAAGUAUUGAACAUGAACAAUAAUAUAUCUGGACCAACUGGUAAUGAAGGUGAUCAACCUUUCAUACCCGACUUAUAUAUAAAAGAUGUACAGAGUACAAUUCAUAAGCAUAUCUGUCUGAAACCACUCUUAAAAAGUUUAAGUAAAAAGAAAAACUUGCCUGAAUCGUUGAUUACCGUAACGCAAUAUAAUACGCUUCUCUUGAAGACCUAAUUAAUAAUAUAGAUCUCCAAUAUUAGAAUAAUAUCAUCACCGUUAUAAAAUAACUUAAACACAUAAUCCUAUCAGUCUAUACAGCAUAUAAAACCUAUAAUAGAUCUUUCGGUUAGUCAUAACAUAUAGUUAAGUAUUAGACAUUAGUUUUAAGUCUU
rnacentral:lncRNA from 1 species